ACGGUGUAUGACUCAGUGGUAGAGCACUCGCAAGAGGAGCGGCGGUUCGAGUCCGCCCACCGUUCCA
rnacentral:tRNA from 1 species